ensembl:ncRNA mir-286 mir-286 stem loop
UUAAAAUUGAAUGGCGAAUGUCGGUAUGGUCUCUUUUUCAAAGAAAGGUUUCGAUUAAGCGAAGUGACUAGACCGAACACUCGUGCUAUAAUUUUAAAAU